CAAUGACUAAAGCCCAAACAAUAUUCACGGCUAGCCCAAAUCUUUAUUGAAGAAUAGCCGAUCACCGCUUGCGCGCGCGCCCGAAAGGCGCGCGCGCGAGCGGCGCACCAGUCCGUGACACAGGUACUUGCCAAUGCAACCCUUAACGAAGUGCCUAUGUGACUCCUACCUUCGCUCAACACGGCAAAACUCGCAUGAAACACCAACCUGCCAACUGCCACAGUGGUACAUAGUAAGAACAGCGGAGCUGAACAUGCAUGCCCCGCCAGGGGCCCUAGUUAUGUGAAAAGCGUAGUCAGUUGAUGAGAGAACGCAAGGGGACUAAUGUGUGUUAACAACACAUUGAAGUGUGGGCCAAUAGCAGGUCUGCGAUGCUCCUAGAUGUUCUGGGCUGCACGCGGCAUACAAUGGUUAAGUCAAUAGGAUUGGUUCGAUCGAGCUCCUGUUGCGAAAGCAUUGGGAACUCCCAUCAGAUUUAACUGUGGCUGGGAUAGAUAUUUGCAGUUUGUCUUGAACUAGGAAUGCCUUAAACACAUCUCAUCAGAGUGUAUUGAAUACGUCCCUGCCGUUUGUACACACCGCCCGUCGUUGCAAUCGAUUGGUUCAAUACUAGAGAUCUUCUGGAGAGACACUGUAAUGAUUCGUCGGAAUGGGGUUCAGAGUUGCUCAAUAAUAUCGAACUAGAGAAUGCAAAAGUCGUAACAAGGUAACC
rnacentral:rRNA from 1 species